UACAGAGGGUGCGAGCGUUAAUCGGAGUAACUGGGCGUAAAGGGCGCGUAGGCGGUGAGAUGUGUGUGAUGUGAAAGCCCCGGGCUUAACCUGGGAAGUGCAUCGCAAACUAUCUGACUAGAGUAUAUGAGAGGGUGGCGGAAUUUCCGGUGUAGCGGUGAAAUGCGUAGAGAUCGGAAGGAACGUCAAUGGCGAAGGCAGCCACCUGGCAUAAUACUGACGCUGAGGCGCGAAAGCGUGGGGAUCAAACAGG
rnacentral:rRNA from 1 species